AACGAACGCUGGCGGCAGGCCUAACACAUGCAAGUCGAACGGGUGUAGCAAUACAUCAGUGGCGCACGGGAGAGUAACGCGUGGGAACCUACCUUUUGGUUCGGAAUAACGUCGGGAAACUGACGCUAAUACCGGAUAAGCCCUACGGGGGAAAGAUUUAUCGCCGAAAGAUGGGCCCGCGUUAGAUUAGCUUGUUGGUGAGGUAACGGCUCACCAAGGCUACGAUCUAUAGCUGGUCUAAGAGGAUGAUCAGCCUCACUGGGACUGAGACACGGCCCAGACUCCUACGGGAGGCAGCAGUGGGGAAUAUUGGACAAUGGGGGCAACCUUGAUCCAGCCAUGCCGCGUGAAUGAUGAAGGCCUUCGGGUUGUAAAGUUCUUUUGGCGGGGACGAUGAUGACGGUACCCGCAGAAUAAGCUCCGGCUAACUUCGUGCCAGCAGCCGCAGUAA
rnacentral:rRNA from 1 species